GACGAACGCUGGCGGCGUGCUUAACACGUGCAAGUCGAACGGUGAAGCGCCUUCCUUUUUGGUGGGUGUGGAUGAGUGGCGAACGGGUGAGUAACACGUGAGUAACCUGCCCCCUUCUUCUGGAUAACCGCAUGAAAGUGUGGCUAAUACGGGAUAUUCUGGGUCUGUCGCAUGAUGGGUCUGGGAAAGAUAUUGUUUCGGUGGGGGAUGGGCUCGCGGCCUAUCAGCUUGUUGGGGGGGUGAUGGCCUACCAAGGCGGUGACGGGUAGCCGGCCUGAGAGGGUGGACGGGCACACGGGGACUGAGACACGGCCCAGAAUCCUACGGGGGCCAGCAGUGGGGAAUAUUGCACAAUGGGCGAAAGCCUGAUGCAGCGACGCCGCGUGAGGGAUGGAGGCCUUCGGGUUGUGAACCUCUUUCGCCAGUGAAGCAGGCCUGCCUCGUUUGUGGGUGGGUUGACGGUAGCUGGAGAAGAAGCGCCGGCUAACUACGUG
rnacentral:rRNA from 1 species